AUUAAGUUCUCUAGGAAGACAGAUCUGGAGGAAAAUGCAAGAAAAUGAAAAUAUCGCCCUAUAUCAGGAGGAAUGACUGAAAAAGCAGAAACGGCAGAAGAGAGAAAAUCAGGGACCUUCAAAAGGCUGAUCUUCUUCCAUGAAACAUCAAGAAUGGUGAAAGACUGAAAGCUGCAAGAUGUGGAAAUGGCGCCAUUUACGACAAAAAAAGCAUGACCCCUUCAGUAUGCAACCUGAUGCUGGAUGAUGCAGGGACACCUGUGAGCAUCCAACACUGUUGCUGCUGAUCAAAAAGAAACACUCACAGGACCAUCCAGGAUGCAUAGAAGUCUCCAGCUGUGACUUCACACUUGCCAGAAGAGCUAUCAAAGUUGUGUGCAACAUUCAGUGCAGGCAGAGAGAAUUCACCUCAUGUGGGACAAUCAAUAGCAUUGAUUGUACAAUAAUUGAUUGUACAUUGAUUGUACAAACUAUUAUGUUUUACACUAACACACACACAGAAAAGAGGGACCUGCCCCAAGCCACUUACAUUGUCAAUGGCACCUUUUUAAAAAGGCACCUUUUAAAAGUGGUGGUUCUCUUAUAUUUAGCGGGGGCGGGAAGCAACUGGCCCUAUCCAUCCCCAGCACAGCAUCCCUCCAGUGGCUGUUGCUGGUGUCUAUCUUGUGUUUCUUUUUUAGAUUGUGGGCUCUUUGGGGACAGGGAGCCAUGUUUAUUUAUUAAUUUAUUUUUAUUUAUGUAAACUGCUUUGGGAACGUUUGUUGGAAAGUGGUAUAUAAAUAUUCUUCAUUGUUGCAUUGUUACUAGCAGAGGGAGGUCAGAAAAGGAAGGAAGGAAGGAAGAGGAGAGGCAGUAGUCACAAAGGAUGCCUAUGAGCACAUCCAUGUCUAAUACUUGGGCUUUGGUUCAUUUUAAGCUGAGGUUCAUUUUAAGCUGAGGAGUAAGGGAUUCAGUCAAAGGCUCCAAACAGUAGCUUUUGCUCUACUUGUUUUGUUCUGAUAAAAGUCCUAUGGGGAUAUUGUCCAACAAUUACCAAAAGGCGUCCAGUUCCAGGGCUCCAACCUUGAAAAUGACCCCCUCCGCCAGCUGAACAUUCUGAUGCCAGACAUCCCCCUGACAUUGAUGUGGGUACUGGUGGGAGGGGGCACUGGGGCAUGGACACUUUGCCCGUCAGCCUUCUCCCAGCAGUGAGUGCCCUGGAAGGGGUGCCAGGGGUGGCAUGACACUGGCUGCCAGGGGACUCCCCCCACCAUAUUCAGGGUUACAAACACAACAUGAAUGGAGGCAGAAGAUCUCCCAGAAAGCAACAAAGGCAGCUUUAGACUGCACCCUCAAAUUCAUCUCACUCUAGCUAGAAGAGCUCUCUCUCUCUCCCUCUUGCUCUCUAUCUGUGUCUCUGUCUGUCUGUCUGUCUGUCUGUCUCUCUCUCUCUCUCUCUCACACACACACACACACACUUAUUUGCCCCCUCUCCUCUUUUGAAGGUAUGCCACCUUUUCCAAACUCUGAUUCAAAAAGAUAGAAAGACCCUCAGUUAUCAUGAAAAUGUCUCAUCACCAUUCUUUUCCAUUGAAACAAAAAACAUCUACUGGAUGUAGAUGUACUGAAUGUACUGUACUGUACUGUACUGAUGUACUGAUGUACUGGAUGUACUGAAUGAGCAAUCUGCCUAUCAAAGGAUGAUGAUGAUGAUGAUGAUGAUGAUGAUGAAGAAGAAUAGAAUGGUGAUUGAUUUAUAAAGUCCCUCAGAUCUCCAUGUGCCCCAUAAGAAGAACAAGAAAUGCACUUUCCAAAGGCCUGAAGUCUAGAAAACUUCAGUUCGACUUCAGAAACAAGAGCAGAUGAUUCAGAACUUCAGAAUAUGUGAGGAAAUUAGGAACUGAGAAAAUCUGACCCCUCUUGUCACCAGAAAUCCAAAAGCUUCAUUCCUUUUAUGCUGAGAACUCAAGACCAGUUUGGUGUGGUUUUUAUGCAUCAUUAGAGACUUACAAAUGCUUUCCUUCUGGAAGCUUCUCUUUCUCGGUUAAUGCCAUGGGAGUCCUGUGGUGGAGAGGCUGGUGUUUGCUACCUCUAUAGCAGCAAUCAAGACUUUGUGGAGGGAUUUUAGAGAGAUGAGUGGGAAGAUUCCCCAUGCGGUGUCUGUAAUGCUGUUAUCCCUUGCUGAGUUGGAGCUGGUAUAAUUCUUCAUCUGUGCAAAUAGGGAGGGAACCCGGGCUCCUUGCGGUGAUUUUGAGGCAUUAAGCUGUUAUUGUUUGAUGAAUUCCUGGAAGCGAAGAUAAGAAAAUUGCAGAAGAUUCCCUUUGAAUUGUCAUGAUAAUAAAAUUGCAGUGAAGUUAGAUUUGGUAGACAAGAAGACCACAUUAUUGAUGUGAUGGUUUUGCCGUAAACUAAUGACCACUGAAGGACAUGUUUAAUGCUGCCUUUAGAUCUGAACUAGUUUCGCAGAGUCAAGGAAAGUCAUGGUCUAUGCAUUAGAAAGGACUAGCUCUCAAAUAAUCUUGCCCAGACCUGUGAAACUCAAGGUCCUCCAAGCCAAAUGCAAUCCACAGUUUUUGCUACCUGCCUCAAGUUGCAAAAUCAGGUGUGAUAAGGUAAUCCACUUCACCUGUUGGGCCAGACUUUUUGUAGGAUACAAAAAGUCUGGCCAGGAGUGUGCAAUGCCUGAAAGUGUCUAGGCGUGUUCUUCAAGCCCUCUCCAACUUUGAGCAUGAUCUCUUAGUGCAGAAGUUCUCAAACUUGGGCCCCCAGAUGUUGUUGGACAACAACUCCCAUAAUCCCCAGCCACAAUGCAGUCACAUCACUGGCACAACCUGCUCUCUCAAACACAAUUAUGACUCCUUACUUCAACAUUGCAACAGCUGCCGCAGCAGCACCCUUAGCAGCAAACAUAGCCAUAAACUCAACUAGAACUCAGUUGUCUUCAGCCACAUUUUGACUGAAUAAAACUUGCAUUACAGAAUGCAGAUUGCAGAUUGUAGAUUGCAGAUCAGUGAGUGAAGCAUAAGUUAGUUUCAAGGCCAGACAUGGGGCUUAUAUCACAUCAGUCACCAAGAAAAUAUUUCACAUACUGUCAAUUUCUCACCACAACACCAUCUCACAAGCAGACCAAACCACAACUCAAGGAAUGUAGGCUCUGGCAGGCACCCAGAUUCUGCCUUUGUCAAUCUGAGAUCCAGCAAAAGUGUCACAAACUUGUCUGUCCACAGUCUGGUCUCAGGUCUUUAUUGGAGAAGCCAGUAGCUCAGGAGUCGCUCCACCUCUGUAAAGAAGCACAAAAGAACAAAUCACCACUGAGUACCAAGUCCACUGAGUCUCCCGCAACCCAGAUUGCUCACCAGAUCCCAAACGCCCUGAGCCAAGCGUCCAAGACAUCUCCGAGGGAGAUAUCGAGGCGGUGAUGAAUGAGUCUUCUCCAGCAGCUUGUUUAAGCUGUCCGGUACCCGGCUCAAGAAUCAGGUUACAAGCAGGGGAAGCCUGGGACUCAAGAGUUCCACCAAGAAGCUGGGAAUUCCACAUAACAGAAGGCUUGAUAUGCAGGAAGCUCAACUGACAUGUUGCUUCCAGUGGCUUGCUUGUUGCCUGCCGGCUGAUUUAUAGUUCUUGACUUAAGUGCUCACCUCCCCCGGCCAGCUGUUAGAGAUUCAGUCCUUAACUUGCCUGCCAAGGAGGCACUGACUUCUUCUGAGUGCCUGCACCUGUUGUUGGCAUUUUGCACAUCUCCACUCUUGGUGGGGGGGAGGUUAAUAGUUGAUCAUCCUCCAGCUUAGGGUUUGGCCUUCCACCCCCAUCUCCUCUGCUCCAGAUGAGCCUUCCUAUCCUGAACCUUCACCCUGGCCCGACUGAGCCACCUCCUGCGGCCCGACAACCAAGCUCUCCCUUUCCCAUGUCUCUUCGCCCGCUGGAGGGUUGUCAGCCUCCCACUCCUCAUCGCUAUCUGUGAGCGAGGGCAUGACAAAAAGAUCCAUAUGCUGAGAUAUACUCAGUGCUUAGAAAAGAAAACCACAAAAUAAAACUUUGCUUGAUUCCUUCCUUCCUCCUCCCCUGAUGUAUCAUCUUCAAGAGCACACUGAGGGCUCUCUCUGCCUCCCCUCCCCAGGCCCUUUGAAAACAUUUUGAAAUUCCCUCCUUUUUUAGCCCCCCCCCUCCUCUCUCCCUCCAGCCAAUUUAGGCCCAAUAUAGGUUUUUCCCAUAGUCUGGGAAACAUGCCAGUGGGGAUUCAAACCAGAAACCUCUUGCUCCCUAGGCAAGUUACUUCCCCCUUGCACCAUUAGGUGGUUAGGUGACAUUAAAUUGCUUGUGCCUGUACUCUCAUGAUCAAGUCCAUGCAGAACAGAAUCAUAGAUCAGUGUAUAACGGAAUCACAAGUCCAUGCAUAAUGAAAUCACAGUGCUGCAACAAGCCAACUCUUUCCAAUGCACUGGGUGUGUGAUUGUAUUGGAAGUAUAGUGGUGGUGGUUUCUGCAUAAAAUAUUCUUCAGAUAGAAUAUUGUUUUUAUAAGUAUAAAUACAUAUAAGUAUUUACAUCUAACUAGAAGCCAGAAUUUGAAGACAGAUUACAGAGGUGGGAUACCAAAUUGAAUCAUAGGUUUAUACCAUUACUUUAAAAAUAGGACAUUGACUUGGGUUACUAUGUAGGCAAAAAAACAUGCCCUGGAUUAAUAUCUUCCUAGGAAGAUAAUAUAGUCUUAAUUAAUAGGCUUGCUUUUUUCUUAUAGAAAGGGUGGGGUUUUUUAAAUUAAAAUAUCAGGAUGUGAAGGUUUAAAAAACUGGCUAAAUUUUGGCUGAAAAUUGGCUGAAUCAAUUGAGCCCAACUUGGAGUGGUUGGUAGGCGUUUUGGAAAAUCAAAUGAAUGAAUGAAUGAAUGAGGUCCAUAGGGAUGUGCGAAUUCAUUCCUAUUUGAAUUGAUUCACAUUGAAGCUGGCCAAUUUGAGCGACUCAGUUGUGAGAAAAUGUGGAAACUCCUGGUGUUGACUGAAAAUCCAUUGUGAAAUGACAAAGGCAUGGUCUAAGGGCUCACACUACAGUCAACUUGAUGAAGCUAAGCAGGUCUUGGUCUGGUCAGUGCCUGGAUGGAAGACCCAUGUAUGCCACCUUUGGGUAUGGGGAUGAUGGAGCUCAAUGCUAGAGCAUCUUUUAAUGCAGAAGGUCCCAGGUUCAAUCCCUGGCAUCUCCAGGUGGGGCUGAGAAAGACUCCUGCCUGAAACCUUGGCGAAGUCAAUGCAGACAAGGCUGAGCUAGAUGGACCAGUGCUCUGACAAUAUAGGCAGUUUUCUGUGUCCUUGUAACCAUGACUUGGAUCCAAGGUUGAUGCUGCAGAAGCACAAGGCUGAAGCAUUUUUUUCAUCCAAGCUUUUUAACUUGACUGUGGUUUUAAAUGGCUUCAAGGUUUUCAUUUUGGUCUGAAUUUGUGUUGUGUUGUAAACCACCCAGAGACAGUUUGGGGCAAUCUACAAAAUUUUUAAAUAAAUAAAUGUUGUGUGUGGUGGGCAGGCACCCUUCUCAUCUCACCCCCCACACCCCUGAAAAACCCACUUUGGAUCCAAUUUGUUGGGGCCAAAUCAUUGACCUACUGACCCCCAAAGUGUAAACAGAACUGUCCUUUGAAAAUAAGUUUCAAAAACUUAGAGAGAAGCAGUUAUUUCCAUAAGUUUAACAACAGCAAUCACAUCUCCCAUGUUUUGCUUGAUUUUAGCAGUGUACUCUAAAUUCUCCAAACAGAGGCCUGAAUAUUAUUUUUCAAACCCAGCUAGAACACUGGCCUCAAACAAAUUUGAAACAUGAGCCUUUCUUUGGAAAUGCUUGUUCCAUUGUGUCUAGAGUCAUGUAUAUUCACUGCAACUGAUGAAUAAACAUUAAACAACCCAGCAACGUAAAUUCACUAAUAUAUUUGGCAUAUUCAAAUUCUUCUCCAAAGAACUAAUUCUAGGGAAGCCCUGUGCCACAUAGAGAGGCAUCAGGCAGAAAUUCAUCAGGGGCACCUAGCAAAGUGACGGGGGCUACACCUGUUGAAUUUCUGCCUUGCCACACACCAUUUCAAUGUUAUGUUGAAAUAUCAAGGCAAAAGUAUGGGUGCAUGGAGCCUCAUUUGUAAAGCCAGUAUACUAGCCAGUCUUCACUCCUUAAAUGGCAUGGAAGUUAAGGUGACCACUUGAAUGUGUAAUUUCCAUGCUUUUCAGAGCAUGAGUGAUAAUUGUAAACAUCUUAAUUUUCAUCUAAAACCGAAGGGCUUUUAAAUAUAUAAUGUAAUUCUUCCUGUCUUCAAGGGGGAAUGGAAGAUCAUGGAGAAAGUGAGAGAAAAAUGUGUGUGUAUUUUCAGGGCACUUUUUCUUAUGUACACCAAUACACCUAUAUUGCUCUUUA